UACGUAGGGGGCAAGCGUUGUCCGGAAUCAUUGGGCGUAAAGAGCGUGUAGGCGGCUCGGUAAGUCCGCUGUGAAAGUCCAGGGCUCAACCCUGGAAUGCCGGUGGAAACUGUCGAGCUAGAGUCCGGAAGAGGCGAGUGGAAUUCCUGGUGUAGCGGUGAAUGCGCAGAUAUCAGGAGGAACACCAAUGGCGAAGGCAGCUCGCUGGGACGGUACUGACGCUGAGACGCGAAAGCGUGGGGAGCAAACAGG
rnacentral:rRNA from 1 species